UACGUAGGGGGCGAGCGUUGUCCGGAAUCAUUGGGCGUAAAGCGCGUGUAGGCGGCUCGGUAAGUCCGGUGUGAAAACUUGGGGCUCAACCCCAAGCCUGCACUGGAUACUGUCGAGCUCGAGUCCGGGAGGGGAGAGCGGAAUUCCUAGUGUAGCGGUGAAAUGCGCAGAUAUUAGGAAGAACACCGGUGGCGAAGGCGGCUCUCUGGAACGGUACUGACGCUGAGACGCGAAAGCGUGGGGAGCGAACAGGAUUAGAAACCCCCGUAGUCC
rnacentral:rRNA from 1 species